rnacentral:rRNA from 1 species
UACGUAGGGUGCAGGCGUUAAUCGGAAUUCCUGGGCGUAAAGCGUGCGCAGGCGGCUCCUUAAGUCAGAUGUGAAAGCCCCGGGCUUAACCUGGGAACUGCGUUUGAAACUGGAAGGCUAGAGUGUGGCAGAGGGGGGUGGAAUUCCACGUGUAGCAGUGAAAUGCGUAGAUAUGUGGAGGAACACCGAUGGCAAAGGCAGCCCCCUGGGCUAACACUGACGCUCAUGCACGAAAGCGUGGGGAGCAAACAGG